CCACGAGUGUUCUUUUAGAACACGAAGUGGUUGAUGCCAUGCUUCCAAGAAAAGCUUCUAAGCUUCAGGUAACCAGGAACCGUACCCCAAACCGACACAGGUGGUUGGGUAGAGAAUACCAAGGCGCUUGAGAGAACUCGGGUGAAGGAACUAGGCAAAAUGGCACCGUAACUUCGGGAGAAGGUGCGCCGGUGAGGGUGAAGCAUUUACUGCGUAAGCCCAUGCCGGUCGAAGAUACCAGGCCGCUGCGACUGUUUAUUAAAAACACAGCACUCUGCAAACACGAAAGUGGACGUAUAGGGUGUGACGCCUCCCCGGUGCCGGAAGGUUAAUUGAUGGGGUUAGCUAACGCGAAGCUCUUGAUCGAAGCCCCGGUAAACGGCGGCCGUAACGAUAACGGUCCUAAGGUAGCGAAAUUCCUUGUCGGGUAAGUUCCGACCUGCACGAAUGGCGUAACGAUGGCGGCGCUGUCUCCACCCGAGACUCAGUGAAAUUGAAAUCGCUGUGAAGAUGCAGUGUAUCCGCGGCUAGACGGAAAGACCCCGUGAACCUUUACUAUAGCUUUGCACUGGACUUUGAAUUUGCUUGUGUAGGAUAGGUGGGAGGCUUUGAAGCGUGGACGCCAGUUCGCGUGGAGCCAACCUUGAAAUACCACCCUGGCAACUUUGAGGUUCUAACUCAGGUCCGUUAUCCGGAUCGAGGACAGUGUAUGGUGGGUAGUUUGACUGGGGCGGUCUCCUCCUAAAGAGUAACGGAGGAGUACGAAGGUGCGCUCAGACCGGUCGGAAAUCGGUCGUAGAAUAUAAAGGCAAAAGCGCGCUUGACUGCGAGACAGACACGUCGAGCAGGUACGAAAGUAGGUCUUAGUGAUCCGGUGGUUCUGUAUGGAAGGGCCAUCGCUCAACGGAUAAAAGGUACUCCGGGGAUAACAGGCUGAUACCGCCCAAGAGUUCAUAUCGACGGCGGUGUUUGGCACCUCGAUGUCGGCUCAUCACAUCCUGGGGCUGAAGCCGGUCCCAAGGGUAUGGCUGUUCGCCAUCUAAAGUGGUACGCGAGCUGGGUUUAGAACGUCGUGAGACAGUUCGGUCCCUAUCUGCCGUGGACGUUUGAGAUUUGAGAGGGGCUGCUCCUAGUACGAGAGGACCGGAGUGGACGAACCUCUGGUGUUCCGGUUGUCACGCCAGUGGCAUUGCCGGGUAGCUAUGUUCGGAAUAGAUAACCGCUGAAAGCAUCUAAGCGGGAAACUAGCCUCAAGAUGAGAUCUCACUGGGACCUUGAGUCCCCUGAAGGGCCGUCGAAGACUACGACGUUGAUAGGUUGGGUGUGUAAGCGCUGUGAGGCGUUGAGCUAACCAAUACUAAUUGCCCGUGAGGCUUG
rnacentral:rRNA from 1 species